GAUGAACGCUGACAGAAUGCUUAACACAUGCAAGUCAACUUGAACUUCGGUUUGGGUGGCGGACGGGUGAGUAACGCGUAAAGAACUUGCCUCACAGCUAGGGACAACAUUUGGAAACGAAUGCUAAUACCUGAUAUUAUGAUUAUAUGGCAUCGUAUAAUUAUGAAAGCUAUAUGCGCUGUGAGAGAGCUUUGCGUCCCAUUAGCUAGUUGGAGAGGUAACAGCUCACCAAGGCGAUGAUGGGUAGCCGGUCUGAGAGGGUGAUCGGCCACAAGGGGACUGAGACACGGCCCUUACUCCUACGGGAGGCAGCAGUGGGGAAUAUUGGACAAUGGACCGAGAGUCUGAUCCAGCAAUUCUGUGUGCACGAUGAAGUUUUUCGGAAUGUAAAGUGCUUUCAGUUGGGAAGAAAAAAAUGACGGUACCAACAGAAGAAGUGACGGCUAAAUACGUG
rnacentral:rRNA from 1 species